UAUGGCCACAUCAUAUUGAAUUGCUGGUUCCCUUAAGAUUACUGAAGUUAAGCAACAUCAAGCCUGGUCAGUACCCAGAUGGGUGAUCACUUGGGAAUACUAGGUGCUAUA